CAAAAAUGCACAUAUUGUGAGCUCGAUGAGUAGGGCGGGACACGUGGUAUCCUGUCUGAAUAUGGGGGGCCCAUCCUCCAAGGCUAAAUACUCCUGACUGACCGAUAGUGAACCAGUACCGUGAGGGAAAGGCGAAAAGAACCCCGGCGAGGGGAGUGAAAAAGAACCUGAAACCGUGUACGUACAAGCAGUGGGAGCACGCUUAGGCGUGUGACUGCGUACCUUUUGUAUAAUGGGUCAGCGACUUAUAUUCUGUAGCAAGGUUAACCGAAUAGGGGAGCCGAAGGGAAACCGAGUCUUAACUGGGCGUUAAGUUGCAGGGUAUAGACCCGAAACCCGGUGAUCUAGCCAUGGGCAGGUUGAAGGUUGGGUAACACUAACUGGAGGACCGAACCGACUAAUGUUGAAAAAUUAGCGGAUGACUUGUGGCUGGGGGUGAAAGGCCAAUCAAACCGGGAGAUAGCUGGUUCUCCCCGAAAGCUAUUUAGGUAGCGCCUCGUGAAUUCAUCUCCGGGGGUAGAGCACUGUUUCGGCAAGGGGGUCAUCCCGACUUACCAACCCGAUGCAAACUGCGAAUACCGGAGAAUGUUAUCACGGGAGACACACGGCGGGUGCUAACGUCCGUCGUGAAGAGGGAAACAACCCAGACCGCCAGCUAAGGUCCCAAAGUCAUGGUUAAGUGGGAAACGAUGUGGGAAGGCCCAGACAGCCAGGAUGUUGGCUUAGAAGCAGCCAUCAUUUAAAGAAAGCGUAAUAGCUCACUGGUCGAGUCGGCCUGCGCGGAAGAUGUAACGGGGCUAAACCAUGCACCGAAGCUGCGGCAGCGACGCUUAUGCGUUGUUGGGUAGGGGAGCGUUCUGUAAGCCUGCGAAGGUGUGCUGUGAGGCAUGCUGGAGGUAUCAGAAGUGCGAAUGCUGACAUAAGUAACGAUAAAGCGGGUGAAAAGCCCGCUCGCCGGAAGACCAAGGGUUCCUGUCCAACGUUAAUCGGGGCAGGGUGAGUCGACCCCUAAGGCGAGGCCGAAAGGCGUAGUCGAUGGGAAACAGGUUAAUAUUCCUGUACUUGGUGUUACUGCGAAGGGGGGACGGAGAAGGCUAUGUUGGCCGGGCGACGGUUGUCCCGGUUUAAGCGUGUAGGCUGGUUUUCCAGGCAAAUCCGGAAAAUCAAGGCUGAGGCGUGAUGACGAGGCACUACGGUGCUGAAGCAACAAAUGCCCUGCUUCCAGGAAAAGCCUCUAAGCAUCAGGUAACAUCAAAUCGUACCCCAAACCGACACAGGUGGUCAGGUAGAGAAUACCAAGGCGCUUGAGAGAACUCGGGUGAAGGAACUAGGCAAAAUGGUGCCGUAACUUCGGGAGAAGGCACGCUGAUAUGUAGGUGAAGUCCCUUGCGGAUGGAGCUGAAAUCAGUCGAAGAUACCAGCUGGCUGCAACUGUUUAUUAAAAACACAGCACUGUGCAAACACGAAAGUGGACGUAUACGGUGUGACGCCUGCCCGGUGCCGGAAGGUUAAUUGAUGGGGUCAGCGCAAGCGAAGCUCUUGAUCGAAGCCCCGGUAAACGGCGGCCGUAACUAUAACGGUCCUAAGGUAGCGAAAUUCCUUGUCGGGUAAGUUCCGACCUGCACGAAUGGCGUAAUGAUGGCCAGGCUGUCUCCACCCGAGACUCAGUGAAAUUGAACUCGCUGUGAAGAUGCAGUGUACCCGCGGCAAGACGGAAAGACCCCGUGAACCUUUACUAUAGCUUGACACUGAACAUUGAGCCUUGAUGUGUAGGAUAGGUGGGAGGCUUUGAAGUGUGGACGCCAGUCUGCAUGGAGCCGGCCUUGAAAUACCACCCUUUAAUGUUUGAUGUUCUAACGUGGACCCGUGAUCCGGGUUGCGGACAGUGUCUGGUGGGUAGUUUGACUGGGGCGGUCUCCUCCUAAAGAGUAACGGAGGAGCACGAAGGUUGGCUAAUCCUGGUCGGACAUCAGGAGGUUAGUGCAAUGGCAUAAGCCAGCUUGACUGCGAGCGUGACGGCGCGAGCAGGUGCGAAAGCAGGUCAUAGUGAUCCGGUGGUUCUGAAUGGAAGGGCCAUCGCUCAACGGAUAAAAGGUACUCCGGGGAUAACAGGCUGAUACCGCCCAAGAGUUCAUAUCGACGGCGGUGUUUGGCACCUCGAUGUCGGCUCAUCACAUCCUGGGGCUGAAGUAGGUCCCAAGGGUAUGGCUGUUCGCCAUUUAAAGUGGUACGCGAGCUGGGUUUAGAACGUCGUGAGACAGUUC
rnacentral:rRNA from 1 species